GAUUCAUAAUAACUUCUCGAAUCGCAUGGCCUUGUGCCGGGCGAUGCGUCAUUCAAAUAUCUGCCCUAUCAACUUUCGAUGGUAGGAUAGUGGCCUACCAUGGUUUCAACGGGUAACGGGGAAUAAGGGUUCGAUUCCGGAGAGGGAGCCUGAGAAACGGCUACCACAUCCAAGGAAGGCAGCAGGCGCGCAAAUUACCCAAUCCCGACACGGGGAGGUAGUGACAAUAAAUAACAAUAUAGGGCUCUUUCGGGUCUUAUAAUUGGAAUGAGUACAAUUUAAAUCUCUUAACGAGGAACAAUUGGAGGGCAAGUCUGGUGCCAGCAGCCGCGGUAAUUCCAGCUCCAAUAGCGUAUAUUAAAGUUGUUGCAGUUAAAAAGCUCGUAGUUGAACUUCAGAUUUGGUCGGGUGGUCCGCUUAACGGCGUGUUACUGCUUGACUGGGUCUUGUCUCUUGGUGAACCAUUGUGCCCUUUAUUGGUGUGCUUUGGGGAACCAGGACUUUUAC
rnacentral:rRNA from 1 species